ACAUCAGAUGCCGCAGAUGGUGCCCUCGUAACGGGGGGCUAAGAGGGAAGCCGGUGUAAAUCCGGUGCUGUACCCGCAACUGUUAGCCAGGAGCUGACGGCCAAUUAAGUCACUGGAGCCCUCGGGCACUGGGAAGACGGCCUGAAGCAUUGAUCGGUGAGCCAGGAGACCUGCCAUCGCGUCGUUCGCCCUG
rnacentral:ncRNA from 22 species